ACGGGAGGCAGCAGUGGGGAAUAUUGCACGAUGGGGGAAACCCUGAUGCAGCGACGCCGCGUGAGCGAUGAAGUAUUUCGGUAUGUAAAGCUCUAUCAGCAGGGAAGAUAAUGACGGUACCUGACUAAGAAGCCCCGGCUAACUACGUGCCAGCAGCCGCGGUAAUACGUAGGGGGCAAGCGUUAUCCGGAUUUACUGGGUGUAAAGGGAGCGCAGGCGGUUUUUUAAGUCUGAUGUGAGAGCCCGCGGCUCAACUGCGGGACUGCAUUGGAAACUGGAGAACUAGAGUGUCGGAGGGGCAAGUGGAAUUCCUAGUGUAGCGGUGAAAUGCGUAGAUAUUAGGAGGAACACCAGUGGCGAAGGCGGCUUACUGGACGGUAACUGACGUUGAGGCUCGAAAGCGUGGGGAGCAAACAGGAUUAGAUACCCUGGUA
rnacentral:rRNA from 1 species